UCUUGACCUCAAAUCAGGUAGGAUUACCCGCUGAACUUAAGCAUAUCAAUAA
rnacentral:rRNA from 1 species